GACAGAGGGUGCAAACGUUGUUCGGAUUUACUGGGCGUAAAGCGCGCGUAGGCGGAUCACUAAGUCAGGGGUGAAAUCCCGAGGCUUAACCUCGGAACUGCCUUUGAUACUGGUGAUCUGGAGAUCGGGAGAGGUUGGUGGAAUUCCGAGUGUAGAGGUGAAAUUCGUAGAUAUUCGGAGGAACACCAGAAGCGAAGGCGGCCAACUGGCCCGAUACUGACGCUGAGGCGCGAAAGCGUGGGGAGCAAACAGG
rnacentral:rRNA from 1 species